GAAAUUGGCCUUCAUUCACGCGAUUAUGCAUAAAGUCUGGUUUACUGUGAUUAUGCAUAAAUAAACUGGAUUCAAAAUUUGCAUAUUACUGUAUUAUUAUUAUUAUUAUUUAUUGCAUUUGUUUUCAGUACAAUUAAAUCUGACCCCUGUUGAGCAUUGAUCAUUGAUCAUUGUUGAGUACAACAUAUCAUCCCCAUGACUCCAUCCGCAUUGCUGUAAUCAUGGAAUCUAUAAUGAUUGAAUUAACAUCAAGCAAUAUUUUUGUUCUAGCUUCUGGUUUUCCGACCUAUAUAUAUAUAUUCAAAUUGCUAUGAUUUUUGAUAAACUGGAACUACAAAAAGACCAUUGGAAACUUGGUUGUUAAACGUUACCAGCGUCUCUAUGCGGCUAAUCGGCUAUGCCCCUUUUUCCUUCGAGCAAAGCAGCAUCCGGAGGCAUUUUUGGAUGAUAUACAACCUCGCCCUUUUCCCCUUCAAAAUCUUGCUUCUUGGUUCCUUGAUUCCUGCUUCCUUGUUCCCUGAAGUAGAGGCUCUUGAUGGUGUAGAUUGUGUCACGAUUUUAUUCAUUUUUGUUUAUUGACUUUUUUGGGCUGCCUGGAGAAGAAGUGGUGGUUGAAAUCUGAAGACUGUUGCCACCACCAGGCUGUUGACAGUGAAACAGGGCCAUGGUUUCUGCUUCUUUAGUGCCCUCUUUUUAAGCUGGGGGGGCUGAUAAGCUCAUAAAUCUGAUUUCCAUGUUAACUGCCUUGUCUGUCUGUUGUCUAUGCUUUAGCUUAACUAAAAGGACAACAAUACUCUGCAGGUGUUUAAUGUUUGACCAGAUCAUUUCAAAUAAUGAAUCCACACUUGAUGCUGAAAGGACACCUGGUCUUCCUUUUCCAGUCAUACACUGGCAUCUGGGAUCUUUUCGGUUUCUGCUGCUCUUCUUCUGUGAAGGAAUCCAAUAAAUUGUUGCUAAAUAUCUUGGCAAAAAUCAUUUCUGAGAGGAACUGAUAGCCAGCCCUGGGCUUGGAGGCCUCUCCUGUCCUCAAACUACUUGACGCGAGGGACCAUCCUUGUUUCGUGCUGUGUGAAUUUGUGAAUGACGUGACAGUUCGUAACUUUUCAGUGUGUUCAAAGGGCCUGCAGCACUCGCAUCUUAUUUGACAAUGCAGAACAGCUAUGGUAAAGUUCAGAUCAGCAGAGGCAAGAUCAUUGGCUCAAGACUACUGUGAGGUGGAGAAGGACAACUAAUGGGGCUUACAAGAACGCAGGUACAAUGCAUCAAAGUUCUGGCUUCUGACAGAAAUUGUUAACACAGAGGUGGAGUACAUUAAUCCAGAUGGGUGUGGAUGUGAAGGUGAAAUGGGGUUGCAGGCAGGGUAAAGUGUUGAAACUUGAAAGUGGAGUGUAUAUAUACAUUAUACAUAGCAGCAGAAGAAAAUAUGAUAUGCUCUGUUGUGUACAUACAUUGUCACGGGAAGCACUAGAAGCCAAAGCAUGUUCUUUAAUUUCCUCCUGUGACUGCCUUGCGCACUACCUCCUCAGUCCUGCCUGCAUCACUAUGAUUUGCUGAAACAACGUUUUCAUGGCAGCAACUUAAUCCUGUUUGGGUGAAUGCCGAAAAUCAAGAAACACUUGUUUCACAGUUCCACCCACACAAAAAUGGCAAUCUUGCUUAUUAUCUUUGCCAGCCCAUUCUUUGGCAUUGUAUUGUAUGGAAUCUCUUCUACUGUCACGUUGUUUUCAUAUUUCCAAUCUCUCUCUCUCUCUCUCUCUCUCUCUGUCUCUCUCUUUUGUACAUUUAGAUUAAACUACAAGGUUUUUGACUACAAAAUCUCUAAUAAUACUAGCAAAUCUCUCUCUCUC